ACGGAGGGUGCAAGCGUUGUUCGGAAUUACUGGGCGUAAAGCGUGUGUAGGCGGCGAUCGUAAGUCGGGUGUGAAAGCCCUGGGCUCAACCCAGGAAUUGCGCCUGAUACUGCGACGCUUGAAUUCGGGAGAGGGGUGUGGAAUUCCUGGUGUAGGGGUGAAAUCCGUAGAGAUCAGGAGGAACACUCGUGGCGAAGGCGACACCCUGGACCGUAAUUGACGCUGAGACACGAAAGCGUGGGGAGCAAACAGG
rnacentral:rRNA from 1 species